UCCAAGUUUCUUCACUUGAAGCAAAUAUAUGAUUGUUUAUAGAGGGUCUGUGGGCAAAUUUUGCAUCGUGUUGGAAAUUUAAGGCCUGCAGAAGGUUGUCUGCCCAAAUAUUGUCAGUUGUAUAUCUAUGAUCCUAAUGCAGCUUAUUACAUUGAUUGAUUGUUUUUAUUGCAUUUUUAAUUUUCUUUUAUUUAUCUCUAGCUGCUGCUUCUUCUGUUACAAGCUCGAAGUCAUGGGAAGAUUUCCGAAAGUAUCGCUCCCAGCAUCCAGGCCCUCUAUCUAUGAGGGCCUUCCAUCGCUGGUGUUUGUAUGGGGACGACCAUCCCUCCUUUAGAUGGAGGGAUGGCACCCCAUACAACACGGGGAAUAGAGCGGAUGCUGGGAGGAGAAGACAACGCGGCUCAAAAGUUGUCAAUAAUUUUUUUUACAUU
rnacentral:misc_RNA from 1 species